rnacentral:rRNA from 1 species
AACCUACCUUCAGAAUGGGGACAACAGUUGGAAACGACUGCUAAUACCCAAUGUGCCGAAAGGUGAAAGAUUUAUCGUCUGAAGAUGGGCUCGCGUCUGAUUAGCUAGAUGGUGGGGUAAGAGCCUACCAUGGCAACGAUCAGUAGCUGGUCUGAGAGGAUGAGCAGCCACACUGGGACUGAGACACGGCCCAGACUCCUACGGGAGGCAGCAGUGGGGAAUUUUCCGCAAUGGGCGAAAGCCUGACGGAGCAAUACCGCGUGAGGGAGGAAGGUCCUUGGAUUGUAAACCUCUUUUAUCAGGGAAGAAGUUCUGACGGUACCUGAUGAAUAAGCAUCGGCUAACUCCGUGCCAGCAGCCGCGGUAAUACGGAGGAUGCAAGCGUUAUCCGGAAUUAUUGGGCGUAAAGCGUCCGUAGGUGGUUUUGCAAGUCUGCUGUUAAAGAAUGGAGCUUAACUCCAUAGAAGCGGUGGAAACUGCAAGACUAGAGUACAGUAGGGGUAGCAGGAAUUCCCAGUGUAGCGGUGAAAUGCGUAGAUAUUGGGAAGAACAUCGGUGGCGAAAGCGUGCUACUGGGCUGAAACUGACACUGAGGGACGAAAGCUAGGGUAGCGAAAGGGAUUAGAUAC